GAUAGCCACUCGGGUUAAGGUUAGGGAAUAAGGCUAAAGGUUAAGGUUAGGAUUAAGAUUAGGUUAAGGGUUAGGAUUAAGAUUAAGAUUAAGGGUAGGGUUAGGUUAAGAGCAUUUUACCACUUUUGAAAAACGUUUUUUUUUAGCUUUUUUUUCAUACCUUCUUUUUUCUGGGCUCGGUCCGACCCUGAAUCUGCAAGAAUUAUGUUUCUAGCCCCUUCCUAGGCCGAGAAAAUAACUUAAAACCGAUCAAAAUUUUUCUUUUUUUUUUUUCUUUUUUUUUUCAUACCUUUUUUUUGCUGGGCUUGGUCCGACCCUGAAUCUGCAAGAAUUAUGUUUCUAGCCCCUUCCUAGGCCGAGAAAAUAGCUUAAAACCAAUUAGGGCUAGGGUUAGGGUAGGUUAAGAGCCAUCUACCACUUUUGAAAAACGGUUUUUUUGGGCUAGUUCGAGAACCGAGUGGAUCAUGGGAAUUCUUUUACCACCCACGGAUAGGUCUAGGCCCAGCGGACUUGCUCAAAAAAUGUGGCGCCCCUGGUGUUUUUUUUUGGGUACUGCAAUUUCAAUUUUUAAGUUUAAAAGUGAAGCGUUUUUUUUUUUUUAUUGGAUCAUGGGAAUUCUGAAUAGUGCCAGUUGUAGCCCUUGGUCCCCU
ensembl:lncRNA